AUUGAACGCUGGCGGCAGGCUUAACACAUGCAAGUCGAGCGAGCGGCGGACGGGUGAGUAAUGUCUGGGAAACUGCCUGAUGGGGGGGGAUAACUACUGGAAACGGUAGCUAAUACCGCAUACUAUCAGAUGAGACUAGGUAGGAUGAGCUAGUUGGUGGGGUAAAGGCCUACCAGGGCGACGAGCCGUAACUGGUCCGAGAGGAUGAUCAGUCACACUGGAACGGAGACACGGUCCAUGCUCCUACGGUAGGCAGCAGUGGGGAAGAUUGGACAAUGGGCGAAAGCCUGAUCCAGCCAUGCCGCGUGUGUGAAGAAGGCCGUCGGGUUGUAAAGCACUUGCAGCGAGGAGGCGUUACUCGCAGAAGAAGCACCGGCUAACUCCGUGCCAGCAGCCGCGGUAAUAC
rnacentral:rRNA from 1 species